AUUCUAAGAUGUUCUAGAUUUUUCAUUCUCCUCACUGAAAUACCUGUCACUGAGAUAACAUCAUCUAAUUGCUGAAAUCCCCCUUUAUUGAAUAAAAGAUUCAUCAGGAGAAUUAUUGGGCCAAUGGAAGUGAACAAUUUGACUACCACGAUAGGCAUCACCCUAUCAUUUUCCUCAGACAGACACAAAUUCACACCUUUGCCAGCACUUCAUUAACAAGCCUUUUCAUAGAGCUUCAGCCACACAGAAAAUUUUCUUUAAAAAAAUGUUUUGCCAUGUUGGAAGACAGGAAGAGAGGCUCUGAAUUUUCCAGACCAAAGUGAACAAGUGAG